GGGGUGAUACGUGAGUUUUAGGCCCUUUUAUGCAUGUUUUAUGGUAUGUGCUAGUUGGGAGUAGUUGAUAUGCAUGUUGGGUAAGUUUGGGGGAAAGGUUUGCAUGAAACAGAGCAGGGUUCUGCCCAGCGGGCAAAACCAGGUUCGGCCGCCGAAGGAAGGUUUGGUCGUCGAACCCCUUGUGGAGGCAGUUUCGGCUGCCAAAGCUUGCCCCCGAAACUUGGGACUUUCGUCUCUGGAGGCAAGGUUCGGCCGCCGAAAGUG
rnacentral:lncRNA from 1 species